GAUGAACGCUGGCGGCGCGCCUAACACAUGCAAGUCGAACGAUUAAAGCACCUUCGGGUGUGUAUAAAGUGGCGAACGGCUGAGUAACACGUGGGCAACCUGCCCCUUUCAUUGGGAUAGCCACGGGAAACCGUGGAUAAUACCGAAUACUUCGAGACUUCCGCAUGGAAGACUCGAGAAAGCUCCGGCGGAGAGGGAUGGGCCCGCGGCCUGUUAGCUUGUUGGUGGGGUAACGGCCUACCAAGGCAAUGAUGGGUAGCUGGGUUGAGAGACCGACCAGCCAGAUUGGGACUGAGACACGGCCCAGACUCCUACGGGAGGCAGCAGUGGGGAAUCUUGCACAAUGGGCGAAAGCCUGAUGCAGCGACGCCGCGUGCGGGAUGAAGGCCUUCGCGUUGUAAACCGCUUUCAGCAGGGACGAGGCGAAAGUGACGGUACCUGCAGAAGAAGCCCCGGCUAACUACGUG
rnacentral:rRNA from 1 species